CCGGACUACCCGGGUAUCUAAUCCUGUUUGAUCCCCACGCUUUCGAGCCUCAGCGUCAAUUUUCGUUUAGCCUGCUGCCUUCGCAAUCGGUGUUCCGGGUCAUAUCUAUGCAUUUCACCGCUACAUGACCCAUUCCGCAAACCUCAACGACAUUCAAGAAUGAUAGUAUCCAUGGCAGUUCCCAGUUGAGCUGAGGGAUUUCACCACGGACUUAGCAUUCCGCCUACGCUCCCUUUAAACCCAGUAAAUCCGGAUAACGCUUGCACCCUCCGUAUUACCGCGGCUGCUGGCAC
rnacentral:misc_RNA from 1 species